rnacentral:tRNA from 1 species
GCAGUGGUGGUUCAGUGGUAGAAUUCUCAUCUUUCAUGUGAGAGACCCAGGUUUGAUUCCUGGCCAAUGCA